GUGAGGAAUUUUCCGCAAUGGGCGAAAGCCUGACGGAGCAAUGCCGCGUGAAGGAUGAAGGCCUAUGGGUUGUAAACUUCUUUUCUCAGAAAAGAAUUAUGACGGUAUCUGAGGAAUAAGCAUCGGCUAACUCUGUGCCAGCAGCCGCGGUAAGACAGAGGAUGCAAGCGUUAUCCGGAAUGAUUGGGCGUAAAGCGUCUGUAGGUUGUUUAAAAAGUAUUCUGUCAAAGAUUAGGGCUUAACCCUAGAUAGGCAGAAUAAACUUUUAAGCUAGAGUUUGGUAGAGGCAGAGGGAAUUACCGGUGGAGCGGUGAAAUGCGUAGAUAUCGGGAGGAACACCAAAGGCGAAGGCACUCUGCUGGGCCAAUACUAACACUGAGAGACGAAAGCGAGGGGAGCAAAUGGGAUUAGAAACCCUAGUAGUCC
rnacentral:rRNA from 1 species